UUAAAGAGAGCGUGAUGUGAAGAUUGAAGAUUGGAAUUGCAGAUUCACAUUGAUGAUGGAAGUGCAGAAUGAAGCGGUUGAUGGAGCUUGAAGUGUGGUUAUGGAAAAAGUGUAUUGAUGCGGUUGUAGAGAGAAAGCAGAGGGAAGAUUGAAGACAGAGCUUUUUGAGUUGCUGGUGAUGAUUGAAGAUGCAGAGAGUUGAGAUGAAGAUGAUAUUGAAGAAUGAUGAUGAAGAUGCGGAUUAUGAUGGUUGAGGAUGGAAGAGAGAGAGAAUGGAGAUCGAGCCCCAACUGAAAAGGUUUCUGCCCUGUUUUCGGACAGAUUUUGAGAAAGGAAGGCGCAUAGAAUUUGGCAUGGAGGAAACUCAGAAUCGAGUGCAACACGAAUUUGAAAGAAGAGGUUGCAGGGUUGCGGUUUAUUUGUGAAGCCACUUUGAAGAGGAUGCAU